UCCCAACUACUUGGAAGGCUGAGGCAGAAUUGCGUGAACCCGGGAGGCGGCGCUGGCAGUGAGCCGAGAUUGCGCCACUGCACUCCAGCCUGGGCGACAGAGCAAGACUCCGUCUCAAAAAAAAAAAAAAAAAAAAGCUGUCACACUCCCAGCGAAGGUCUGCAGCUUCACUCCUGAAGCCAGUGAGACCAGGAACCCACCAGAAGGAAGAAACUCCGAACACAUGCCAACAUCAGAAGGAACAAACUCCAGACACGCCGCCUUUAAGAACUAUAACACUCACCGCAAGGGUCUGCGGCUUCAUUCUUGAAGUUAGUGAGACCAAGAAUCCACCAAUUCCGGACACAGUCUGUUACAAGAGUGAGGCCAUCUGAAAGGUAACAAUCAACUUUCAGAAGAUAUGUAUCCAAGUGGGCUACUUCCAAUGUCUAUGAGAAGUACCUGCACUUAAGAGUCUGCUAUUGCCUUAGGUACUGUUUGCACCGCCCCCACCCCUCCAAAAAAAAACAACAAACAAGGACGGCUUCUCUAGUGCUUGCCACCUUUGUCAAAGCACCUGACACCACUGUCAAAGCACCCAGAGCCAGCAGAGCUACCUCACCUGACAGUUAUCUCCCUAGGGCCUGAGAAAUGGCCUACCUGGUGGCCCCCAAGCUCACUGAACUAGGCCAAUGACUCCACAAAUGCCCACAGUCUAAGCCACUGAGCGACAUGCAGACAUCAUUGAGACUAAUUUUUUUAAAUAUCAUGGAUUAAAAAGGCAUUCCAUUCCAAUUAAAACCAAAAUCAAGCAGGAGUAGCUAUACUUAGAUAAAAUAGACUUAAGUAAAAAACUGUAAAAUGGGUCAAAGAAGGUCAUUAU